AAAAAAUAUCUGAAUAUUGGCAAAUGUUUUUCAGUAUGAAUGUUGCUACAGAAAGUACACCGUUGAAGGCACUUAAUGUUUUAAACGUAAUCGUGACGUCUGAUUUGUAUAUAUUUAUGUUUUAUAAAGGUUUUAUCAUUUUUCUAGUGUUCUAGGAUGGUUAGAUACUGCAGCCACGAGAAUCAAUGAAGCUAACGUUGCCAACGUUACAGAUAGUGGACCCAGCAUAAAGACGUAUUACAUCACAGCGUUAUAUGUUACGUUUACGUCACUGACGUCAAUAGGAUUCGAAAACGUGUCACCAAAUACUAAUGGAAUUGACAUGCAUGUAAAGAUGAUAUAUUUGGUGGUGACUGCAGUGACGUGGAAUGCUCGGGAAAAUCGUUCUAUUUUGUACGUGCCCUUAGUUACUGUGAUAUUGACAAGAUAGAGUUACACGUGCUGAAAGAAACAAUGGAUAUAUAACCAGAAUUUUCAAAAAGAACUAAUGGGUAAAAUACAAGUGACAUUUAAUCUUAAGCUCGACGAAUGGGACCACAGAUCGGAGAAGAUGACCCGACGUCUGGAGCAUUCGAAUUUUCUCCGCUAUCAGCAAGUAGUGGUAUAGAUACGGCGUUCAAAGACAGAUCAGUGUAAACAAGACGAACAGUUGACGGAAAUUUCAUUUCUUCAUCAAAUUCCAGCCAGUACGUCAAGGCUAUAUAUAUAGUGUGUUUUCGGUGUAUCUAUAAGGUCAUUCUUAGAAACAUCAGACAGUUGAGCGCCCUCUAGUAGUCGGCGCAUUUCCAGCUUUGAGCGCCCUCUGAAAGUCGGCGCAUUUCCGGGAAGCUGGUGAUACAGCGCCAUCUGGAAAAAAUGAGACAGAUGUCACUGUCUAACCCCGAGGAAAUCGACAUGGAUUUUUAAGAUCUACAUAUUCCUUGUUGAUGAAAUUUCAUGUAACAUGUUGUUGCCUUCCAGCCGCAUUGAAAUUAUAAAAAUGGUAUUAGUAUUUUGUAUUUUCACAUCCUAAAUGAAAUUCAGUGGCGUUAAAGACACGCCUAAAAAUAAAUGUCUUCUUUUGUAUUUCAAUGAUGGUAAUAAUACCUGAUGCAUGAAAGAUAUACAAGAAUUUAGUUUCAAAUUGACAUUGACAUUAUAUUAAGCCAAGACAAUAUGUUGAAUGUCUUAAUAUUUUAUUUUAUUAUAUACCAAUAUCAAUUCUGUAAAAAAUCUUGUAUUUCACAAUCAAAUAUGAACAGACAGACAAAAAAUCCCUUUUGUACCUUUUAAAUUCCGUAUUGUACCUUCCGUAUUGUAUGCUGCAGGACUAUUUUCAUAAAUAUGCAUGACCCGACACAUUUCUAUAAAUAGCGCACAUAAAAAUUUCACUAAGUUCCAUUUAAUAUCGAUAAACAUUGAAGGUUUCGUUCAAGAACAAAACAAGAAUCAAAAUGGUAAAGGUAUAUAAUAAAAGGGUCAGUAUUACAGUAGCUAUAGAUAUGGGACUUUGUAUUCGGCUCUCGUGGAUUUUGCAAGGUCGGAUCACACUCGGCUCGUAAGAUCCGAUCUAGCAAUCCACUCGAGCCGAAUACUGCAUCCCAGAUCAAUCUACUGUUAUAAUAACCCUAUUGUAUUAAGGGGACGCAUAUUGCUACAUUCACAGUUCAUACAGAAAUGCGGAAGGGGUGCAUAUUCAAGAAAUCGAUGGUGGGAAAAUAAAAAACAUAUUCCUAAACUGAUAUAAUACUGAUGGACACCUGUAAUAUUCAGUAUUUUGUGGGUAAGGAUGUGGUACUAUGAAUGUAAUAGGAAAACAGAGGUCUUUGUGAAAGUACAUUCAACACAAAAUAUUAAGCUUUUGUAUAAGGAAAAAACAGGUUUUUUACAAUAACAGUGUUCCAAAUAAUGUUGAAGGGAUGAGAUUUUCUUUCUAACACACCAGGUUUGCUUAAACAUGUAAAAAUUUAACGCCAUGUCAUUUCAGCUCGGGAUGGACGCCAUAUUUCUCAUUGAUAAAAAUGUAAACAAAAAAAGUCAGAGUGGGAUUAGCAUUGCAAGGGCAUAACAUGACAUUCUACACAAUGAAUACCUUAGAACAGAUAUCUAAGAUGCUACACAGGUCAGGCGGGUUAAAUGCAUAAUGGCGAUCACUUGAAAUUCAUCUUGAAAAGGUGGUUAAUUUUAGUUUAUUUACAUGGUUUUUAAUUUUCCCACGACUUCUCGGCGAUUCACUGCAAAUGUAUUACUGCGCUGGACGAAAGGUAACUCUAAUAAACAACGGGAGACAACUUAGGUGUCAGCACGUGUACGAUUUUUAAAAAAAAAACAUGUCGAUGAUUAUAGUUUCUUAUCAAAUAAUGAAUCCUAUUCAGAUAUUCGUCUUUAAUAUUAGAAAAUUAUUAAUUUCUGUGGACAUUUGUCAAAAAAUAUUACUUACAUUGGACUACUUUGCGCAUCAAACUGGUUUCCGCUUCAGUUGUGAGGCACUUCCGUUAUACUUUUUGACAACAAUAACAAAACAUAAAAUGAAUCAAUAGUCACUUAUAAACCGACUGCUACUUAAAUCAGUGUAAGUAAAGUUGUUGUUACAACAUUAUACAUGUUCGUUACGUUAUGAGAUAAAGUUUAUCUUGAACUGCAUAAUCCAUUAAUUACGUUUAGAUGAUAUUGCAUUUACAACUUAUUUGACCCCAUUUUUUUACGUGAAUGACAGCAUUCUCGUGCAACUCGUGCAAACAGAAUUAUGAAAAGUAUGGUGGAGAAUUCAAGGACAAAUUAUAAAUGACAUUAAAGUGAGGAUAACUGUAUAUUCGUCCAGUUUUGAUCAUUGACAUGCCUGCUGUGUAUUAGUAACUUUUGUGAACAAGAUUAGAAUGUUACUUUUGCACAUAUACACAUUGAUUGGACCUCUCAACCAAAAUUUCAUACCUUAUUUUAGGGAUUUUUAAGACAAUACAUUUUCAAAAGUUUGUUGAAUGUGUUUUGAUAUUUAAGUGCAUUGUAGUUCAUGAAUACCAAGUUAAAAAUUAAUAAUGGCAACAUUUCUAGGCCCUUAUUGUAAGCCACUAGACUUCUGUAACGAUAAAUGUUUAAUGUAUUCUGGGGAAUAUACUCUUUUACUUUUGGAAUGUGGCAUUCCUUGACCACCGUAUCUUUUCUUAUGCACUACUUUGUAAACAAACUAAAUAAUGUGUUUUAGCUUACAUAUGCGAAAUGAAAAGCAAGACAGUGACCAUAUUUCACAUUCUUUCUUUAAAUUAGAAUCUGUAGGGCAUUGAUAAAUGUUUGGACAAGGUGAAGCACUAUUAUUUUCGCACCAAAAAGUCUUAAUUGUUGACUUUGAAUGUACACAAUAAGUCUUAUGUAAUUCAACAAUAACUUUCUUGUUUCAGUUUUCUCAUUUUUAUUUUAGUGAGCAAUCCUUUGUGUACUUAUAACAGUUGAAACAGUAUCCAUUUCAUGUACCAAAACCUUGUACUUUUUUGCAGGUAAAUUUUAUCAUACCCCACCCACUUUUUUCUAAUUUCAAAGUAUGCGUCCCCUUAA